rnacentral:rRNA from 2 species
UACGUAGGUGGCAAGCGUUGUCCGGAUUUAUUGGGUUUAAAGGGUGCGUAGGCGGCCCUGUAAGUCAGUGCUGAAAUAUCCCGGCUUAACCGGGAGGGUGGCAUUGAUACUGCAGGGCUUGAGUAAAGUUGAGGUUGGCGGAAUUGACGGUGUAGCGGUGAAAUGCUUAGAUAUCGUCAAGAACACCGAUAGUGCAGACAGCUAACUAAGCUUUAACUGACGCUGAGGCACGAAAGUGUGGGGAUCAAACAGG